UCCUCUUUAGCUCAGUUGGUUAGAGCAUACCCCUGAUAAGGGUAAGGUCGGGGGUUCGAAUCCAGCAGGCUGAACCA
rnacentral:tRNA from 1 species